AUGGAAAGAAAAGAGAAGAGCCGAGCCUGGGUCAGGGUUUUAAAUAUUCAUAUUAAGAACAUGAUGGUGGGCCGGGGAUUUAGCUCAGUGGUUCCACCACCUGCUCCACAAGCGCAAGGUCCCGAGUUCCAUCCCCGGUACCAAAAAAAAAGAAAGAAGACAAAUGAAGACCUCAGAGUGUAUCACCCUCAAAAGUCAAGUGUGCAGUGUGGACUCCAGUCAGGGACAGCAGGGUGCUCCGAGGGCACAGCUGGGAAAGGUCCACUGGUGUUGACAGUUGCUGCAGAAGGGGCUGCUGUUGCGAGGUCGCAGCUUGCUGGUCAGGCCUGGUCCAGCCUUACAGUGCCUGCUGUCAAGCACAAGCUCGCUGUCUUCAGCAUCUGCCCAGUUACCAUGCUUUUAAAUCCAGCUCCUAAGUCUGAGGUUUACAUCUGGGAGUGGGAAGACAUUUAUGUAAACGGGACUUCUCAUUGCUGCUGGAAAAGGAGAAUGCUGGAGAGUAGCCCAACGACUGCCCGGAAACCUACACUGUGGACACCGCUAGGAGUCUCAAAACCCUGACAGACCAACAGGCAGGAGCUCUCGCUAUGUGAAGGGUGGCCACUCUUCACUCCAGCGUCAGAGAAGACAGAAACCCAGAUCUGCCUCGAGCUUAGCAACCUGACUGGAAUGAACUGGUAUUAUGGAACCCCUGUGAAGUGAGGGUACCAGAAUCCUCAGCGUCUCUGUAUUUGUGUUAGGUUGGAGUCUGCACCCAUAGGUCCCCUCUGGUGGCCACAUCCCCAGUGAGUGUUACUAGAUUUAGAAAAUAAAAACACAAGACUCCAGUUCAUGUUUUCCUAGCUUCCCGUUUUCAUUAGUGUAUGUUUAUAAUAAUUACAUUCAUCUUGGGGAAUUGGUAC
rnacentral:lncRNA from 1 species